AUGUCAAAUUUCGGAACAAACUUUGAAAGUCUUUGUUUUUAUCUCGCGUUGUGGAUGCUGUUCCGGUGAAUUUUUCGUCACGAAAUCCGCGCUCCUCCGGAUAGGAUGGAACAGUUGAGAAAGCGGCUGGAUGCCGGUUCCUUGGAAAUUUUGGAAGGUAACGUAAAGGUAGGUAAAGGUUUUCGCGGAUGAAAAAGUAUUUCUUUCGGUAUUGUCAUUCCAAUAUUGUAUUUUCUUUUAGAAAGAUUGGCUUACGAAAUAGAUGGCACUGAGUCCGGAAUUCAGUAAAUCUUCCUGGAACUGCUGUAGCUGUUCAAUUUACUGGCGUGACAUACGGUUAAAACAAAAAUAUGGCAUACGGUUCAUACAAAAAUACAAAGUAAUGCAUCAAAACGAAUAAAAACAUAUUAUAAAUGAGUAAAUUCCAGAUUUUACUUCCAGCGCGGUUGAAAAUCUGAAUUUUGGCACGUAAGAGUCGUAUUUUACGUCGUACGUCAAGCGGAAUGAGCUGGAAUUGCAGCGUUAGGUUCGACGUGCGAAGAAAAAUCGACAAUCGCGUGCUAAAAUUCAGAUUUUCAACGCGCGCUAAGAAAAUUUCGAUUGCGCAAGAAAUUUCUAAACCAUUCCAUUUUACUAACCGAUGAGUAAAUUUUGCUCAUCCAAUUCUAAACAAGCGAAGCGUUUGUGGUGUGUAAAAAUCACUCAUCAUCAAAACGCUUCAUGAAAACGCUUCGCUGUGUAAAUUUCACUCAUGACAUUUUCAAGAACAACAGUUACUCUAAAAUGAGUAAACCGACAUUUGCUCAUUUUUUGUGUUGUCCCAGUUUAGCUCGGAGAUGUGUGAAAAGAACUCAAUUUAGAGUAACAUUUUCUUAGCGUGUAAGAAAAUGUUACAUACCGGCUGUGUUAAAUUCACGCAUCGAACCGUUUCGUGCACAAGAACGCUUCGGUGAGUAAAAAUUUUGCUCAUAAUGUGAGUAACUGUUCGCAAACUCACAUUUUGUGUAAAUUAGCUUUUAGCGUUUGUUUAAAAAACGGUUCGAAACGAAUGAAAUGUCAAAUUUCGAAACAAACUUUGAAAGUCUUUGUUUUUAUCUCGCGUUGUGGAUGCUGUUCCGGUGAAUUUUUCGUCACGAAAUCCGCGCUCCUCCGGAUAGGAUGGAACAGUUGAGAAAGCGGCUGGAUGCCGGUUCCUUGGCAAUUUUGGAAGGUAACGUAAAGAAAGAUUGGGUUACGAAAUAGAUGGCACUGAGUCCGGAAUUCAGUAAAUCUUCCUGGAACUGCUGUAGCUGUUCAAUUUACUGGCGUGACAUACGGUUAAAACAAAAAUAUGGCAUACGGUUCAUACAAAAAUGCAAAGUAAUGCAUCAAAACGAAUAAAAACAUAUUAUAAAUGAGUGAA